CCUGACUUCUUUCAAACACUGUGCAGUCUUCCACAGUAACAGCCGAGAAGGGCCGCCCUUUGCCCACCACCUCCAGGCCAUCAAUAUCCUCCGAGAGAUAGAGAAAGAUGAGGAAACUACAGGCCAGAGGGGUUCAACCACUCUGGGGUUCACUAACAUGACACGGCUGGGACCUGAACCCAGGCAGCCUGGCAGGCUCUAAAGCAGUGCUGCUCAAGAGAAACGGAAUGCAAACCACAAACACAAGCCACACGUGUCACUGAAAGUUUUCUAGAUGCCACACUGAAAAAGGAAAAAAGAAACAGCCAGUGCCCAGUUGACAGUGACAGCACUUCUCAAGGCAGGGCAGCCACGAUCCAGGCGCUCACCAGCGGCAUGCAGCUCAAGGCUCCACACUGGACGGCAGCUCUAUGGCUGCACUCGUUUCCUAGCUCUCUCACCGUUUUACUGAAGAAAAGGAAGAGGGAGCCGGACUUCAGGAAGACUCUGGGACUUGCCUAAGGCCACAGAGAGUCACAGAGAAACAGGCCCUGGGCCUGUU